rnacentral:lncRNA from 1 species
GCUUUGAAAAGGAAACCCCCAGGGCGCGAGCGCGAGGGAAAGCUGGCCCAGACGCGUGCGCGCUCCCGCGAAAGAAAAGCACCAGAAGUAAAGAAACUUUUACAGCUUUUGUUGAUUUGGCUGUUAACGCUGAUCCCCCGAAUCAAAAAAAGGUAAUCAAACUUGAAAGUUUGCAUUUUAAUUUGUAGCUUCAUUUUAAAUGAUGAGAGGAGAAAAUUGUGCAGUGUUUACCCUCCACUUGGUUGAAAAACAAAGGUUCUAAAAAGGCUAUAUUUAUAUAAUGAGUGGGUUUCUCUGUUUAAAAUCUUGUUGAGGGGGAAAAACUAACUCAGGUGUUAAGUAGUAAACUGAUGAGAACGUCAUUAAAGGUUAGCCUAAGGAAGAUAGAAGGAAAGUUGUGGGACAACUGGUCAUAGUCAGCUAUGAAAGAAAACAAUGAGGAAGGGUUCUGUGUACUGACCUGGGAAGAGCUCCAAAAUAUGUUAUGAAGUGAAAAAAAGAUGUAGGGCUGUGUGAAUAAUGUGCUGCUUUGUGUGUUAAGGGGACAGGCGAGGAAUAAGAAUACAAGCUUGCGUUUGCUUUUCUAAGUAUAAAGCGACUCUGGAAAGGGAGAAACUGCAGAACUGGUAAUGGUGGGCGAGAGGGGGAAGGAGCCUGAUGAGGGGAUGGUGGGAAAUGACGUUGUGUAUGUCUUAUUUUUAAAGUAUUUGGACUGUAUUAUGGAUUCAUAAACUAAACAGAAGUCCUUCUUUCCAAAAUAACUUGUUAUGUGUUUUUGUUUGUUGCUUAUUUCUCUUUCCUAAUUUAUGGUGAUUUUGGACAUUUUCAACAUGAUUUCUCUUAAUAUUUUUAAGGAAAAUGAGCUGUAAAAUUCAAAGAAAGCUUAGGGUAAGUUUGGCUGUCUAUGCCUCGAUUUUUAAGGUGCUGGUGUCACAUUUAAUUUUUAAAGCUGUUUAGUCACAUUUUACUUUGCCGAAAUAUGACAUCAUUUACAUUUGGCAUUAUGGCUGGAUUAUAAAGAUUUCAGAGCAUGGUUUGCCUCCUUUUUUUUUUUUUUCAGGAAUCAUACUUGCAUAAAAUUUGACUUUUAGUUUUUUUAACCCCAAAGUUGUCAUGACAAAUAGUUGGAGAGUAUGAGCACUCCAUUAAAAUGGUAAUAGAAUCGUUUGUCCAGGUAGUUUGCUUUGCAGAUUUGGGAAAUGCUUUUCUCAAGACAAUCAGAUAUGAACCUCAGUGACAUGUAACUUUAUAUGUAUAUUUAUUUUUAUAGUACUUUCGGGGAAUUAAAACUAGCAGUCAGUGCAGAACAUCAAAAUUUUUUUAUGGCUUAUUGAUUGCUCCACACAGUACAUGAUUUGGGGAAGGGUACUCAGAACCUCUUGGAUGCUAAUAUAAUGAAAGUAGUGAAUGUUGAGUAGUGGUUGACAGUUACUGUGGGCAUUUUCGUUAUGUUUCCAGUAUUCCUUUUUAUUUUGUACGAUAGGAUAAUUAUUUUUGUUUGACUUAGAGGUCUCUAGUCAAACUUAUGCAUAUUUUUUCAUUUGAAUUCCAUGUGGGUCUAUUCAGUCUUUUUGAAAAAAUAGAAUUGCAUUUCAAAAUUUUACUUAAAAUUUUGUUAUUGUUUUUCAAAUUAUAGAAGUAGAGUGGUGUUCAUGAGAAAUUAAAACAAUGCAGUGUAUAUGUACGUGAAGCAGCCUUUGCACGUGUCCACCUCUUCUCACAUCUCUGCAGAAAUGACUGCUGUUAACAGUGUUGUAUAACCUUCGAGUUCUUUUUCUGUGCAUUUACAAACAUGAAUUUUCAGUCUUGAGAACUGAAUUGUCUUGUUUUGUCCGCUUGUUUGCCUUCAAUGUGAGCUCUGUUAGUGUCACAGGUCAGGGAAAUGACCUGGAGUGUGUCAGAAAGUUUAACAUAUAGUAUGCGCCUUAGGACAGUCUCAUCUUUUCACUGGUGAGGGGCUGGUUAGUUUGGGGCACAGUUACGGUUUGUAGUGAGCUCUCACUGUUGUGAGCUUUAAUCUGAUGUGGAUUGAAUUUACCUUUAGACUUAGAGUCCGUGGCUUUUAUAGGACUCUUUAGGGUCCACAUUUCUAGGGUUUUGACCUGGUCAGUAGCUCACAGGUUAAACUGCUUUUGUUCUCCUGCAUGUGCGGGCCAAUAGAAAACUACUUAGGUUCCACCAGCCUGUCCUGGUCUCUGGAGUGAAACUACACAGGUCUGUCCUUAACUAGGAGACAUUGACUUGGAAUGCAGCCUUGGAAGGGGAGAGGGAGCAGAGGCAGUCAGGUCUGGUUUGUCCUAUAAUGACAGCAGACAAGUCGUAUGUACACCCCACC